rnacentral:rRNA from 1 species
AUUGAACGCUGGCGGCAUGCUUUACACAUGCAAGUCGAACGGUAACAGGCCUUCGGGUGCUGACGAGUGGCGAACGGGUGAGUAAUGCAUCGGAACGUACCCAGAGGUGGGGGAUAACGCAGCGAAAGCUGUGCUAAUACCGCAUGUGAUCUGAGGAUGAAAGCGGGGGACCGAGCAGCAAUGUUUGGCCUCGCGCCUUUGGAGCGGCCGAUGUCGGAUUAGCUAGUUGGUGGGGUAAAGGCCUACCAAGGCGACGAUCCGUAGCUGGUCUGAGAGGACGACCAGCCACACUGGGACUGAGACACGGCCCAGACUCCUACGGGAGGCAGCAGUGGGGAAUUUUGGACAAUGGGCGUAAGCCUGAUCCAGCAAUGCCGCGUGCGGGAAGAAGGCCUUCGGGUUGUAAACCGCUUUUGGCAGGAACGAAACGGUGUCCGCUAAUACCGGGCGCUAAUGACGGUACCUGCAGAAUAAGCACCGGCUAACUACGUG